rnacentral:rRNA from 1 species
AGCAGCCGCGGUAAUUCCAGCUCCAAUAGCGUAUAUUAAAGUUGUUGCAGUUAAAAAGCUCGUAGUUGAAUUUCGGGAUCAAUAUAUCGGUCGUGCUUCGGUAUGUACUGGUAUUAUUGAUUUCUCCCUUCUGACAAACUAUGAUGUCAUUAAUUUGGUGUUAUAGGGAAUCAGGACUGCUACUUUGAAAAAAUUAGAGUGUUUAAAGCGGGCACACGCUUGAAUACAUUAGCAUGGAAUAAUGAAAUAGGACGUUUGAUCUUAUUUUGUUGGUUUCUAGGAUCGACGUAAUGAUUAAUAGGGAUAGUUGGGGGCAUUAGUAUUCAAUUGUCAGAGGUGAUAUUCUUGGAUUUAUUGAAGACUAACUACUGCGAAAGCAUUUGCCAAGGAUGUUUUCAUUAAUCAAGAACGAAAGUUAGGGGAUCGAAGACGAUCAGAUACCGUCGUAGUCUUAACCAUAAACUAUGCCGAUUAGGGAUCGGAUGAAGUUAAUUUUUUUAAUGACUCA